AGCAGCCGCGGUAAUUCCAGCUCCAAUAGCGUAUAUUAAAGUUGUUGCAGUUAAAAAGCUCGUAGUUGAAUUUCGGGAUCAAUUUGCUGGUCGUGCCUUCGGUACGCACUGGUAUUAUUGGUUUCUCCUUUCUGAUGAAUCGCGAUGUCAUUAAUUUGGUGUCGUGGGGAAUCAGGACCGUUACUUUGAAAAAAUUAGAGUGUUUAAAGCAGGCUCACGCUUGAAUACAUUAGCAUGGAAUAAUGAAAUAGGACGUUUGAUUCUAUUUUGUUGGUUUCUAGGAUCGACGUAAUGAUUAAUAGGGAUAGUUGGGGGCAUUAGUAUUCAAUUGUCAGAGGUGAAAUUCUUGGAUUUAUUGAAGACUAACUACUGCGAAAGCAUUUGCCAAGGAUGUUUUCAUUAACCAAGAACGAAAGUUAGGGGAUCGAAGACGAUCAGAUACCGUCGUAGUCUUAACCAUAAACUAUGCCGACUAGGGAUCGGAUGAUGUAAUUUUUAAUGACUCAUUCGGCGCCUUAAC
rnacentral:rRNA from 1 species